CCUGACCUAGGGUUUCCGGCAGUGGGCUGAUACCUGAUUAUUCCAGCCACUGCUGGUUGCUACCAUCGCCGGAAAAGAAGUGACAGUGGUGUGAAGCUAUUGGAUUCCGGCUACCACAACAUUGAAUGCCUUGGUUGUUUCCUUGAUAUCCAACUUUGAUCCGAUCAGUGAAAGGACUUUGACGCGAGACGAGUAUCUCGAUGUCGGAUUUGGACAUUCCUAUUGGAGGCGGG